AAAUAAUUCAUUGCACUUUGCCUGCUCAUUUGUGUUUUAUAAUCAGCGUUUCUUGCAUUCUGUGAUGUUAAUCUUGGAUUAUACCUAUUUGUUAAGCAAAAGGUACGAGUUUGACAUGGGAAAGGCGCAGAGGGAGGUGUUUGAUAAACUCGGCACCGUUGAUGGACUAACCCUUGCAGAAAGGUAUGAACUUUGUGACAUUCUUAGCGAGAAAUCACAGGUAUGCCGGCAUCUGCUCGUCUUGGAUAUGUGAAAAGGUUCAUCUAACAGAGUUAGUACUUAGGUGAUUCAGCAAUUGAAGUGAAGCUGUGUGAUCUACUAUAAUAUGUAUUAUAUUAUUAUGUGAAUUGUGGCAGCAAGUGCGUGUGAUCAGCUGUGAAUAUUUUGGUAGCCAUUGGAUCAUCUAGCUGGGUGGGGCAUUUUUCAUUUCUGUAAAGCCCCAGCAUAAUUUGUACCUAAACUAUAUAUGAAUAUAGGUACAUGAUCAAUUGAGAUUUUUUAGGCUAAUUGAGAAAUGAGAUGCAACAUCAGCCACUCAUUUUUAUUAAAUGAGUGGUCCAGAUUUUGCCACACAAAAAAUAUUUUUAGAUUAAUUUAUUAUGAAAGGGGUAUAAUGGUAAAUUUAGUUGAAAACAAAUGAAAACUAACUUCUCCCCUCCCAUUCUUCUUCCCUUACGCCUCCACCUUCUGCACAUCAUUGAAAAUUUAGCAGCGCACAGGAACGCCGGCUUCUACUCGCCGCCCUCAAGAUCUGCCUUCUACGCGUCAAAUUCAGCCGUUGCUCUAGCGAUAAAUUCGUCACGGGAACCCAGCCUCCGCCAUUUUCCCUGAUCGCCUCUAGCACCUGCUUUAGAUCUUCCUUCCUCACCACGAUCUUCACCCGUCCAUCCUCCGCCACCGCCGCCGCGAUUUCUCCGCCGUUAAUGUGCGAAAUCGCCUCCAUAGUACUACUGCUCGCCACAGGUUUCUGAAUUCUUCCCGAUCUCGAGAACCUUCUCCUCGACGACGAUUUGUCUUCCAUUUCGUUUCCCCCUUUAUGAUACGGUACGGUUCGGUUAAACUUCUCGAUUGCUUGCUUAUUUCUGUGCGGUUCACUGCAGUUGGGUGAUCUGAAUUGAUUUUUCCUGCUACCAAUUUAUAGGGUACUAAACAGAAUAGUAAAAUAUUAGCUCGAAUUGAUUAAAAUAAAAUAGUUUUGACUUUGCUUCCAGAUCUGAUUCUUGGUUUCAGGUUUCAAAUUUCAACUUCUCCUUUGACAGUUGUAAAAGCAUUUACACAAAUGAAAAGGGAUAUGAAAAGCAUUAGAUAAA